rnacentral:rRNA from 1 species
CAGUAGCCGCGGGAAAACCGAGGGUGCAAGCGUUAAUCGGAAUUACUGGGCGUAAAGCGCGCGUAGGUGGUUUGUUAAGUUGGAUGUGAAAUCCCCGGGCUCAACCUGGGAACUGCAUCCAAAACUGGCAGGCUAGAGUAGGGCAGAGGGUGGUGGAAUUUCCUGUGUAGCGGUGAAAUGCGUAGAUAUAGGAAGGAACACCAGUGGCGAAGGCGACCACCUGGGCUCAUACUGACACUGAGGUGCGAAAGCGUGGGGAGCAAACAGGAUUAGAUACCCCAGUAGUCCCUGUCUCUUAUAC